rnacentral:tRNA from 1 species
GUUAAUGUAGCUCAAGGUAGAGCAAUAGCUUCAUACGUUAUGGGUUAUGGGUUCAAGUCCCAUCAUUAACU